rnacentral:rRNA from 1 species
CGCUUGUUUAAUAAAAACAUGUCUUUUUGAAAUUUUUAAAAAGUUUAAUCUGCCCACUGAUAUUUUAAAUGGCCGCAGUAUAUUAACUGUGCAAAGGUAGCAUAAUCAUUAGUCUUUUAAUUGAAGGCUGGUAUGAAUGAUUGGACGAAAUAUUAACUGUUUUAAAUAAAUUUAUAUUAAAAUUUUAUUUUUUAGUAAAAAAGCUAAAAUUUAAUUAAAAGACGAGAAGACCCUUUAAAUCUUUAUAUUUAAAUUAUUAAAAUUUUAAAGAAUAUUUUUAUUAUAAUAAUUAAUAAUAUUUUAUUGGGGUGAUAUUAAAAUUAGAAUAACUUUUAAUUUAUAAGAAUCAUUAAUUUAUGAAUUAUUGAUCCGUUAUUAACGAUUAAAAAUUUAAGUUACUUAAGGGAUAACAGCGUAAUUUUUUUGGAGAGUUCUUAUCGAUAAAAAAGAUUGCGACCUCGAUGUUGGAUUAAGAUAUAUUUUUAGGUGUAGCUACUUAAAUUUUAAGUCUGUUCGACUUUUAAAUUCUUACAUGAUCUGAGUUUAAACCGGUGUAAGCCAGGUUGGUUUCUAUCUUUAAUAAAUCAAAAUAUUUCAGUACGAAAGGACCUAAUAUUAAAUAAAUUAUUAUUUUUAUAUUGAAUAUUAUUAAUAU